rnacentral:rRNA from 1 species
UUCCACGGUUUCCGCGCCGCAGCUAACGCAUUAAGUGCCCCGCCUGGGGAGUACGGCCGCAAGGCUAAAACUCAAAGGAAUUGACGGGGGCCCGCACAAGCGGCGGAGCAUGCGGAUUAAUUCGAUGCAACGCGAAGAACCUUACCAAGGCUUGACAUGUUCCCGAUCGCCGUAGAGAUACGGUUUCCCCUUUGGGGCGGGUUCACAGGUGGUGCAUGGUUGUCGUCAGCUCGUGUCGUGAGAUGUUGGGUUAAGUCCCGCAACGAGCGCAACCCUCGUUCCAUGUUGCCAGCACGUAAUGGUGGGGACUCAUGGGAGACUGCCGGGGUCAACUCGGAGGAAGGUGAGGACGACGUCAAAUCAUCAUGCCCCUUAUGUCUUGGGCUUCACGCAUGCUACAAUGGCCGGUACAAUGGGUUGCGAUACUGUGAGGUGGAGCUAAUCCCAAAAAGCCGGUCUCAGUUCGGAUUGGGGUCUGCAACUCGACCCCAUGAAGUCGGAGUCGCUAGUAAUCGCAGAUCAGCAACGCUGCGGUGAAUACGUUCCCGGGCCUUGUACACACCGCCCGUCAAGUCACGAAAGUUGGUAACACCCGAAGCCGGUGGCCUAACCCUUGUGGGGGGAGCCGUCGAAGGUGGGACCAGCGAUUGGGACUAAGUCGUACAA